rnacentral:rRNA from 1 species
UACGUAGGGUCCGAGCGUUGUCCGGAAUUAUUGGGCGUAAAGAGCUCGUAGGCGGUUUGUCGCGUCUGCUGUGAAAUCCCGAGGCUCAACCUCGGGUCUGCAGUGGGUACGGGCAGACUGGAGUGCGGUAGGGGAGACUGGAAUUCCUGGUGUAGCGGUGAAAUGCGUAGAUAUGUGGAGGAACACCGAUGGCGAAGGCGGGAUCCUGGGCCAGUACUGACGCUGAGGAGCGAAAGCGUGGGGAGCAAACAGG